rfam:Myotis brandtii contig214565, whole genome shotgun sequence.
GCCGGUGUGGCUCAGUGGUUGAGCAUCGACCUAUGAACCGGGAGGUCCCGGGUUCGAUUCCCGGUCAAGGGCA